rnacentral:misc_RNA from 1 species
ACGAGUUCAUGCCCUUACGGGUAGACCUCCCACCCUUGAAUAUUAUACCUUCGUUGCUUUGGCGGGCCGCCUCGGCCACCGGCUUAGGCUGGUGAGUGCCCGCCAGAGGACCCUAAACUCUGAAUCGUUUUGUCGUCUGAGUACUAUAUAAUAGUUA